GAUGAACGCUGGCGGCGUGCCUAAUACAUGCAAGUCGAGCGAACAGACGAGGAGCUUGCUCCUCUGACGUUAGCGGCGGACGGGUGAGUAACACGUGGAUAACCUACCUAUAAGACUGGGAUAACUUCGGGAAACCGGAGCUAAUACCGGAUAAUAUAUUGAACCGCAUGGUUCAAUAGUGAAAGACGGUUUUGCUGUCACUUAUAGAUGGAUCCGCGCCGCAUUAGCUAGUUGGUAAGGUAACGGCUUACCAAGGCAACGAUGCGUAGCCGACCUGAGAGGGUGAUCGGCCACACUGGAACUGAGACACGGUCCAGACUCCUACGGGAGGCAGCAGUAGGGAAUCUUCCGCAACGGGCGAAAGCCUGACGGAGCAACGCCGCGUGCGUGAUGAAGGUCUUCGGAUCGUAAAACUCUGUUAUUAGGGAAGAACAAAUGUGUAAGUAACUAUGCACGUCUUGACGGUACCUAAUCAGAAAGCCACGGCUAACUACGUG
rnacentral:rRNA from 1 species